rnacentral:rRNA from 1 species
GUUGUAUGGUUAAGUGACUAAGCGUACACGGUGGAUGCCUUGGCAGUCAGAGGCGAUGAAAGACGUAGUAACUUGCGAUAAGCCCAGAUUAGGUAGUAACAACCAUUUGAGUCUGGGAUUUCUGAAUGGGGAAACCCACGUGCAUAAGCACGUAUCCUUACCUGAAUACAUAGGGUAAGGAGGCGAACCGGGGGAACUGAAACAUCUAAGUACCCUGAGGAAAAGAAAUCAACCGAGAUUCCGAAAGUAGCGGCGAGCGAAAUUGGACUAGCCCUUAAGCUUUACACGCGUUAGACGAACGGUCUGGAAAGUCCGACGAUACAGGGUGAUAGUCCCGUAGUUGACGACGUGUGUUCAGUGAAAUUGAGUAGGGCGGGACACGUGAUAUCCUGUCUGAAUAUGGGGGGACCAUCCUCCAAGGCUAAAUACUACUGACUGACCGAUAGUGAACCAGUACCGUGAGGGAAAGGCGAAAAGAACCCCUGUGAGGGGAGUGAAAUAGAACCUGAAACCGUGUACGUACAAGCAGUAGGAGCAGGCUUUGUCCUGUGACUGCGUACCUUUUGUAUAAUGGGUCAGCGACUUAUAUUCAGUGGCAAGGUUAACCAUCUAGGGGAGCCGUAGGGAAACCGAGUCUUAACUGGGCGUUCAGUCUCUGGAUAUAGACCCGAAACCAGGUGAUCUAGCCAUGGGCAGGUUGAAGGUUGAGUAACAUCAACUGGAGGACCGAACCGACUAAUGUUGAAAAAUUAGCGGAUGACUUGUGGCUAGGGGUGAAAGGCCAAUCAAACCUGGAGAUAGCUGGUUCUCCCCGAAAGCUAUUUAGGUAGCGCCUCGGACGAAUACUACUGGGGGUAGAGCACUGUUAAGGCUAGGGGGUCAUCCCGACUUACCAACCCUUUGCAAACUCCGAAUACCAGUAAGUACUAUCCGGGAGACACACGGCGGGUGCUAACGUCCGUCGUGGAGAGGGAAACAACCCAGACCGCCAGCUAAGGUCCCAAAUUACUACUAAGUGGGAAACGAUGUGGGAAGGCUCAGACAGCCAGGAUGUUGGCUUAGAAGCAGCCAUCAUUUAAAGAAAGCGUAAUAGCUCACUGGUCGAGUCGGCCUGCGCGGAAGAUGUAACGGGGCUAAGUAGUAAACCGAAGCUGCGGCAAUGUGCUUUUGCACAUUGGGUAGGGGAGCGUUCUGUAAGCGGUUGAAGGUGUGUGGUAACGCAUGCUGGACGUAUCAGAAGUGCGAAUGCUGACAUGAGUAACGAUAAAGGGGGUGAAAAACCUCCUCGCCGGAAGACCAAGGGUUCCUGUCCAACGUUAAUCGGGGCAGGGUAAGUCGACCCCUAAGGCGAGGCCGAAAGGCGUAGUCGAUGGGAAACGGGUUAAUAUUCCCGUACUUCUUACAAUUGCGAUGGGGGGACGGAGAAGGCUAGGUGGGCCUGGCGACGGUUGUCCAGGUUCAAGUGCGUAGGCUUAAGAGUUAGGUAAAUCCGGCUCUUUUUAAGGCUGAGACACGACGUCGAGCACCUACGGGUGUGAAGUCAUUGAUGCCAUGCUUCCAGGAAAAGCCUCUAAGCUUCAGAUUGUAAGGAAUCGUACCCCAAACCGACACAGGUGGUCGGGUAGAGAAUACCAAGGCGCUUGAGAGAACUCGGGUGAAGGAACUAGGCAAAAUGGUACCGUAACUUCGGGAGAAGGUACGCUCUUGAUGGUGAAGUCCCUCGCGGAUGGAGCUGACGAGAGUCGCAGAUACCAGGUGGCUGCAACUGUUUAUUAAAAACACAGCACUGUGCAAAAUCGUAAGAUGACGUAUACGGUGUGACGCCUGCCCGGUGCCGGAAGGUUAAUUGAUGGGGUUAGACUUCGGUCGAAGCUCUUGAUCGAAGCCCCGGUAAACGGCGGCCGUAACUAUAACGGUCCUAAGGUAGCGAAAUUCCUUGUCGGGUAAGUUCCGACCUGCACGAAUGGCGUAAUGAUGGCCACGCUGUCUCCACCCGAGACUCAGUGAAAUUGAAAUCGCUGUGAAGAUGCAGUGUACCCGCGGCUAGACGGAAAGACCCCGUGAACCUUUACUACAGCUUGGCACUGAACAUUGACCCUACAUGUGUAGGAUAGGUGGGAGGCUUUGAAGCACGUACGCCAGUAUGUGUGGAGCCGUCCUUGAAAUACCACCCUUGUAGUGUUGAUGUUCUAACGUCGACCCCUAAUCGGGGUUGCGGACAGUGCCUGGUGGGUAGUUUGACUGGGGCGGUCUCCUCCCAAAGAGUAACGGAGGAGCACGAAGGUGGGCUAAUCACGGUUGGACAUCGUGAGGUUAGUGCAAUGGCAUAAGCCCGCUUGACUGCGAGAAUGACAAUUCGAGCAGGUGCGAAAGCAGGUCAUAGUGAUCCGGUGGUUCUGAAUGGAAGGGCCAUCGCUCAACGGAUAAAAGGUACUCCGGGGAUAACAGGCUGAUACCGCCCAAGAGUUCAUAUCGACGGCGGUGUUUGGCACCUCGAUGUCGGCUCAUCACAUCCUGGGGCUGAAGUCGGUCCCAAGGGUAUGGCUGUUCGCCAUUUAAAGUGGUACGCGAGCUGGGUUUAGAACGUCGUGAGACAGUUCGGUCCCUAUCUGCCGUGGGCGUUGGAAGAUUGAAGGGGGCUGCUCCUAGUACGAGAGGACCGGAGUGGACGAACCUCUGGUGUUCGGGUUGUGUCGCCAGACGCAUUGCCCGGUAGCUAAGUUCGGAAUCGAUAACCGCUGAAAGCAUCUAAGCGGGAAGCGAGCCCUGAGAUGAGUCUUCCCUGAUACUUUAAGUAUCCUAAAGGGUUGUCGGAGACUACGACGUUGAUAGGUCAGGUGUGUAAGUGCUGUGAGGCAUUGAGCUAACUGAUACUAAUUGCCCGUGAGGCUUAACCAUACAACACCCAAGGGGUUU